AUUGAACGCUGGCGGCAGGCCUAACACAUGCAAGUCGAACGCGAAAGCUCCUUCGGGGGUGAGUAGAGUGGCGAACGGGUGAGUAACACGUAGGAAUCUACCCAGGAGUGGGGGACAACCCGGAGAAAUCCGGGCUAAUACCGCAUACGCCCUACGGGGUAAAGUGGGGGACCUUUUCGGAGGCCUCAUGCUUUUGGAUGAGCCUGCGUCGGAUUAGCUUGUUGGUGAGGUAACGGCUCACCAAGGCGACGAUCCGUAGCUGGUCUGAGAGGAUGACCAGUCACACUGGGACUGAGACACGGCCCAGACUCCUACGGGAGGCAGCAGUGGGGAAUAUUGGACAAUGGGGGCAACCCUGAUCCAGCCAUGCCGCGUGUGUGAAGAAGGCCCUAGGGUUGUAAAGCACUUUCAGUAGAGAAGAAAAGCCUAGGGUUAAUACCCCUGAGUCUUGACGUAACCUACAGAAGAAGCACCGGCUAACUCCGUG
rnacentral:rRNA from 1 species